UGGGGAAUAUUGCGCAAUGGGGGAAACCCUGACGCAGCGACGCCGCGUGCGGGAUGAAGGCCUUCGGGUUGUAAACCGCUUUCAGCAGGGACGAAGCGAAAGUGACGGUACCUGCAGAAGAAGCGCCGGCUAACUACGUGCCAGCAGCCGCGGUAACACGUAGGGCGCGAGCGUUGUCCGGAAUUAUUGGGCGUAAAGAGCUCGUAGGCGGCCUGUUGCGUCCGCUGUGAAAGCCCGGGGCUUAACCCCGGGUCGGCAGUGGAUACGGGCAGGCUAGAGGUAGGUAGGGGAGAAUGGAAUUCCCGGUGUAGCGGUGAAAUGCGCAGAUAUCGGGAGGAACACCGGUGGCGAAGGCGGUUCUCUGGGCCUUACCUGACGCUGAGGAGCGAAAGCGUGGGGAGCGAACA
rnacentral:rRNA from 1 species